UGCUUUUUUUUUUUUUACUGCUUCAAAUUUCUUAAACAGUGAUUCUUGUAGUUAAUAAAGAUUUCAGGGACAAGCUAAGCAUGUGAAUAUUUGAGUAUUAAAGUUGUAAUCAGGAAAUAAUUACGAAAAUUGUGGAUUCAUGAUAUCUAACUCAGGAAAUGAUUUUUUUUCUUUAUAAUUAUUUCCAUUUAUAAUUCAACUAAAAUGUCAAGUAUCCGGCAUACUGUUGUGUGCUUUGUCUUUACGAAUUUAAUGAGUCGGCAAUAGUAGAAGCUGGGCAAGUUUAUUCUAGCUUAAUGGGAAUCGUGGGUGUAGAUACUUAUUUUCGGUUUAUGCUUUUUUUGAUGGGCUAUAAAGUUGGGAUUAGUUUGUGGGUGGUUUUUUAAUGUUGUUUUGAAUAUUCUGUCGUAUUUAAGUUUGUUCAAUGAAAUUAGUAAGUUCCUCAAAACUCAAACGCGUUAAUUGAGGUUGUUGGGUUCUUUCAAACGAGCCUUCUCUUCCAUUCCAUCCAAAGUAUGUCGAAAUGGUAGAAAAACUCAGAAACACAACUUUCAACCCUUUCUUUGAUGUUCAAAUCAAUCCCCAACAACUAGAUCUUAAACCCGAGAUCAUUGUUGAAGAUGGAAGUUUUGGAGCAAAAGUUUGAAGCUUGUUUGAUGAUGUACUGUGAGGAUCGCAAUCGAGAAUGUGAACAGAAACAUGUUGCAAACGAAGCCAACCAACAAGAGCUGAAGGCAAUAUCGUGAACAGGGGUGUUGGGGAGGACGAGAUGGAAGAGAAGGAAUUCACAAGACAGAAAAUGUUACUUACAUUCCUAAAUAUUCUAAAUGGCAUAGGGGAUCCCUUGAAUGGUUGUGAACACUUUCUUCAUCGUCAAAUAUCGUUAGAUGAAAGAGAAAGUGCAAGGGGAUGCACAAAUGUGAUUCCUCUAAUUUAAUCGCGACUCUCUUGAAUUGUGUUGGGAUGAUUUUGAGCAACAAUGUAAUCUGCGUUUUCGCUGAACUAUUCGCAGUAAUUGAUUGAGAUAACUCUCAAAAGUUGGUCGGUUGGGUUCUGUGGAAGACUACCAACGAAAAUUUGAGCUGUUAUUAGCCUAAGCAACUUCUUUAACUUGGGAACAAGAAUUGCAUAUUUUUCUGGGUGGAAAAGGUUGCAGUGCAGUUGAGGUUGAAUUGCAAGAACCCACCCAAUGAUUCAACUAGUUCUUAGAACCUUCGAUGACCGUAACGGAGAGGAGAACACAAAUUUUUCCCUCCAAGUAGUGUGGACAAUGCCUCAGCCAGCCUCAAUUUGUAAAGCGAUUAAAGGACUGAGAUGGAGUAGCAUGGAGAAGGAGGUCUCUGUUUAUGUUGUGAUGAGUUUAUAAUCGUGGGCAUCCAUGUAAAGAUAAAUUUUAACAAUUGUUCUUAAACUUAUAUAGUUGUAACAUUACA
rnacentral:misc_RNA from 1 species